AUUGAACGCUGGCGGCAGGCCUAACACAUGAAAGUCGAACGAGUGGCGGACGGGUGAGUAAUGUCUGGGAAACUGCCUGAUGGCGGGGGAUAACUACUGGAAACGGUAGCUAAUACCGCAUCCCAUCGGAUGUGCCCAGAGGGGAUUAGCUAGUAGGUGGGGUAAAGGCUCACCAAGGCGACGAUCCCUAGCCGGUCUGAGAGGAUGACCGGCCACACUGGAACUGAGACACGGUCCAGACUCCUACGGGAGGCAGCAGUGGGGAAUAUUGCGCAAUGGGCGCAAGCCUGAUGCAGCCAUGCCGCGUGUAUGAAGAAGGCCUUCGGAUUGUAAAGUUCUUUCAGCAGGGAGGCGUUACCCGAAGAAGAAGCACCGGCUAACUCCGUGCCAGCAGCCGCGGUAAUUC
rnacentral:rRNA from 1 species